GGACUCCAUUCCCCAGAAUCUCCUGGGGGAUCAGGUGACACCUGACCUUCCAAUAUGCUCCAAUCAGCGCUCUCCUUCAUCUGAGUACUGAUCUAUAACACCUGCUGUUUUGAUCACGUGACUAUUUAGUGUUAGUUUAAAGCCUGGGUUUUUAGACUAGCUUUUUGUGAGGUAUUGCUUCUUUCACAGAGCUGCUGAGUGGUUAUUCUGGCAGCGGUGCCACAUGACCGAGUGUGGCACACAAUGAGCGUCUCUUCAGUCCAGCAGGUGUAGGAGAAGAGCCGGGCACCCACUCUGUAAUCAGCGCGUUGGGGGACAGGAUUUGGGCUGCAACAAAUUGGAUCCACAUGGUGUUUAAUGGGCAUUAAUCACAGAGAGAGGCGACCGUUCUGCGUAAGCCACGUCAGCCGCCUCCAGAGCUGGCUAAUCAGUGUCAUCUCAUCGCGCCUCCAUCAGCCCCCCUGUCACCCCCAACAAAACCACCACCACCACUGUAUCUCAGGCUCCACGCACCAGAUUGAAAGGGGGAAGUGUCAUUUGCGUCAGGGCUCCAGUUCCGGGCUCUGGUACCCCUUCAUAAUUGGUGCUUUUCUUGACGCUUCCUCAGACCAAGGUGUGACCAGUAGAGAAUCAGAGAAUGACUAGCGUGCCAGUGUCAGCCCCAAGAACCUGCAGCAGUGGAUCCUUUUUCCAAGCAUAAAAAUAUACACGGUUUUCCCAGAAA